UUUAUAAUACUACUAUUAAUGUACCAUUUGAAUUCUUUAUGUAUGUGAUCAGUGUUAGUCAGAGUCUGAAGUGUCCGACACGAACCCGUCCUGCACCAGCUGACCUUUGACCUGUCUGAAGGUUCCCGUCACAUCCGGCUCGUCCUGAGGAGGAAUCAAACAUGAGCUUCGACUUUCUCUCUCACAAUUCAGACUUUUUUCUCAGAAUUGUAAGAAUUGUCCAAAUUCUGAGAAAUAAACUCGCAACUCCAAAAAAAGAAAAGUUCCAGUUAUGUGUUUUAUUGUGAAA